CGUCUUCGAAGGCGGCGGAGCCCGGGCGUCUCAGAGGGUUCUCGAGGCCCGUCGAGCCCGCGGAGGUUAAGUCCGCCGGCUGACGCCUCAGCCUUCGCCCCGCGCGCGGGUCUCGGGCUUCACGGAAAUGAACACAAGCCAAGAGUAAAACAAAACCAGUACAAAUCCCCAAGUCAAAACAGCUACAAUCAAAUUCAAGGAAAGCAAAGGGUGAUUCCUGGAAACCUCUGGAAGCAAGCUGCUGCUGUUUGUUUUAUACCCUGGGCCGUUUGACUUGGAACAUUUCUGAAGUUGUUCAGUUCCUGCACAUCUAAAUGAACGGCUGUUUCUGGGUACAGUUACCUUCUCAGCUUACAUGCUCUGAUGAAGCAAGCUGCCCUGUUGGAAACAGUCAUGUCACAAGGAGCUGAGGGAGGCCUCAGGAGGAGCUGAGGUCCAGUCCAACAUCCUGCAAGGAACUGAAUCUUCCCCACAACCACACGAGCUUUGAAGUGGAUGCUUCCUGACUGGAGACUCCCAGCCCUGGCCGACGCCUUGAUUACAGCCUUGUGGGGAGACCCUGAAGCAGAGGACCCAGCUAAGCCACACCAGACUCUUGACCCUCAGAAAUCAAGAGAAUCUGAAGGUGGGAUUUGGGGGAAAACUCUUGCAGAGUUUUCAGAAUCAGAAAUUCACCAGGUCAAUGGACAUCUUAUAUGCCCAGAUCCUAUCUGACAUCACUCACGAGAAUUUGUGUUUGUAGAUGAAUACCAGAAAUACAUCCUCAGUGAUGCCAAUUUGGAUCCAAUUUAUGUCAAAAUGAACAGUCUGGCUUGGAAGGCCUUUAUUGUAAAUGGUUGUAUUUUAAAUCUUGAUCCAAGUGACCCUCUCAAAGCACCUCUGUCUCAUGUGUAUUUGGCUGCAAGAAGAGUCUUGUGUGACUUUGAAAAUGGAAACAGCACUAAUUACCUGGAAUGGAUUAGUGGGCAUUGAUUGUGUAUAUAGUCUAGAUGUAAAUAAUAUAAAAUCCUUGAUGGAGCUAUAAAUACCAGCUUUAUCAAUAGCUCUCAUAGUUUAUAAUUUCCCAAUGCAUUUCAAGAUGCCAACUCUCACCUUUUCCCUAGAUUGAUUUCCUUGCUUCAAAGUAAUAAAAGGAUGCAAAAAUAAAUAAUAAUAAUAAAAUAAUUAUAUACUUUAAAGUGCAUUUGGGUUCCAACAUCUGAUUUUAAUAGAGAUGU